rnacentral:rRNA from 1 species
UACGGAGGGAGCUAGCGUUAUUCGGAAUUACUGGGCGUAAAGCGCACGUAGGCGGCUUUGUAAGUUAGAGGUGAAAGCCUGGAGCUCAACUCCAGAAUUGCCUUUAAGACUGCAUCGCUUGAAUCCAGGAGAGGUGAGUGGAAUUCCGAGUGUAGAGGUGAAAUUCGUAGAUAUCGGGAGGAACACCAGUGGCGAAGGCGGCGAUCUGGGAAGAUACUGACGCUGAGGUGCGAAAGCGUGGGGAGCAAACAGG